GACGAACGCUGGCGGCGUGCUUAACACAUGCAAGUCGAGCGGUAAGGCCCCUUCGGGGGUCCACGAGCGGCGAACGGGUGAGUAACACGUGAGCAAUCUGCCCAUCACAUCGGGAUAACUCCGGGAAACCGAAGCUAAUACCGAAUACGACCACCUCCGGCAUCGGAUGGUGGUGGAAAGUUCCGGCGGUGAUGGAUGAGCUCGCGGCCUAUCAGCUUGUUGGUGGGGUAACGGCCCACCAAGGCCUCGACCGGUAGCCGGCCUGAGAGGUGGACCGGCCACACGGGGACUGAGACACGGCCCAGACUCCUACGGGAGGCAGCAGUGGGGAAUAUUGGACAAUGGGCGAAAGCCUGAUCCAGCAACGCCGCGUGAGGGAUGACGGCCUUCGGGUUGUAAACCUCUUUCAGCAGGGACGAAGCGCAAGUGACGGUACCUGCAGAAGAAGCACCGGCCAACUACGUG
rnacentral:rRNA from 1 species